AGUGAACGCUGGCGGCAGGCCUAACACAUGCAAGUCGAACGGCAGCACAGUAAGAGCUUGCUCUUACGGGUGGCGAGUGGCGGACGGGAGAGGAAUACAUCGUAAUCUACUUUUUCGUGGGGGAUAACGUAGGGAAACUUACGAUAAUACCGCAUACGACGUACGGGUGAAAGCAGGGGAUAGUUGGGCCGUGUGCGGUUGAAUGAGCCGAUGUCGGAUUAGCUAGUUGGCGGGCUAAAGGCCCAGCAAGGCGACGAUCCGUAGCUGGUCUGAGAGGAUGGUCAGCCGCACUGGAACUGAGACACGGUCCAGACUCCUACGGGAAGCCGCAGUGGGGAAUAUUCGGCAAUGGGCGCAAGCCUGAUCCAGCCAUACCGCGUGGGUGAAGAAGGCCUUCGGGUUGUAAAGCCCUUUUGUUGGGAAAGAAAAGCAGCAGGUUAAUACCCCGCUGUUCUGACGGUACCCAAAGAAUAAGCACCGGCUAACUUCGUG
rnacentral:rRNA from 1 species